GAUGAACGCUGGCGGCGUGCCUAAUACAUGCAAGUCGAGCGAACGGACGAGAAGCUUGCUUCUCUGAUGUUAGCGGCGGACGGGUGAGUAACACGUGGAUAACCUACCUAUAAGACUGGCAUCACUUCGGAAAACCGGAGCUAAUACCGGAUAAUAUUUUGAACCGCAUGGUUCAAAAGUGAAAGACGGUCUUGCUGUCACUUAUAGAUGGAUCCGCGCUGCAUUAGCUAGUUGGUAAGGUAACGUCUUACCAAGGCAACGAUGCAUAGCCGACCUGAGAGGGUGAUCGGCCACACUGGAACUGAGACACGGUCCAGACUCCUACGGGAGGCAGCAGUAGGGAAUCUUCCGCAAUGGGCGAAAGCCUGACGGAGCAACGCCGCGUGAGUGAUGAAGGUCUUCGGAUCGUAAAACUCUGAUAUUAGGGAAGAACAUAUGUGUAAGUAACUGUGCACAUCUUGACGGUACCUAAUCAGAAAGCCACGGCUAACUACGUG
rnacentral:rRNA from 1 species